GCAUGUGCACCAUCCCAACUCCAGGUCUUGAGUCUUCUUCAUAUUGUCUUUGUGUGAAUGCGUAGUUUCGAAGAGGUGGGGUUGCGGGGUUUGAGGUGGUUCUCUCUGAUAGCUCUCAGAGUGGUCUAGUUGGGCUUAGAAAGCUUGUCUUUUGUUUAUGCUGUUGAGGUUUAGGCUUGUAGUGUUGGGCAGUGAGUCAGUUCCUCUCUAGAAAUAGGGAGCUCUCUUCUAUUUCUUCUUCUGUUUUUUCUGGUUUUUUGGAAGUUUGCUCCACUUUGUAAUUUUGAAGCUUUGCUUCUCUAUGUAAUUU
rnacentral:lncRNA from 1 species